rnacentral:rRNA from 1 species
CACGCCUUAAACGAUGUCAACUAGGUUGUAGAGGCUCUGACGCCGUUACAGCCGAAGCAAAAGUGUUAAGUUGACCGCCUGGGGAGUAUGGUCGGGGGCAAAACUGCAAAGGAAUUGACGGGGGCUCACACAAGCGGUGGAGCAUGUGGAUUAAUUCGAAGCAACGCGCAGAACCUUACCUGGGUUCGACAUGUACGGAUGCUACCCUGGAAACAGGACUAGCUAUCGCAAGAUGAAACGUAUACAGGUGCUGCAUGGCUGUCGUCAGCUCGUGUCGUGAGAUGUCGGGUUAAGUCCUUUAACGAGCGAAACCCCUGCCGUUAGUUACCAGCGGGUCAUGCCGGGAACUCUAGCGGGACUGCCGGUGUUAAACCG